rnacentral:rRNA from 1 species
AUUGAACGCUGGCGGAAUGCUUUACACAUGCAAGUCGAACGGUAGAGGGGGCAACCCCUUGAGAGUGGCGAACGGGUGAGUAAUAUAUCGGAACGUGCCCAGUCGUGGGGAUAACGUAGCGAAAGUUACGCUAAUACCGCAUACGAUCUAAGGAUGAAAGCGGGGGAUCGCAAGACCUCGCGCGAUUGGAGCGGCCGAUAUCAGAUUAGGUAGUUGGUGAGGUAAAGGCUCACCAAGCCAACGAUCUGUAGCUGGUCUGAGAGGACGACCAGCCACACUGGAACUGAGACACGGUCCAGACUCCUACGGGAGGCAGCAGUGGGGAAUUUUGGACAAUGGACGCAAGUCUGAUCCAGCCAUUCCGCGUGCAGGAUGAAGGCCCUCGGGUUGUAAACUGCUUUUGUACGGAACGAAAGGUUUCUAUUAAUACUAGGAGCUCAUGACGGUACCGUAAGAAUAAGCACCGGCUAACUACGUGCCAGCAGCCGCGGU